UGUAAUCUAAAAUUAACUCUUUUUAAUUAACCCGAGUUUUUUUUCUACUCUUUUCUCUGAGUCAAAUUAACCUGAUUUACUGUUAAAUAUUAUGGGUCACAAGUGGCUUUUAGAUCAUCUCAUUAAAAUCAUUAGCUCAUUUAGAGAAAUCAAUGUUACAUAGUUAAUUAACUGUUGCCCCCUCAAAAGACAAAGGGUUACCAGCUUUGGUGUCAAACGGUCUUGUGAUGUGAUCUUGAUUUGUGCCUUUAUUGUCUCAUUUUUAAUAGUUAAUUUAUUUUUAUGCUAAUUUUUAUAUUAUUUACAUCUCUUGCAGUGUUCAUGAAUUGAUAAUUAAGUGAUUUGAUUUUGUUUUAUUGUGCUUUCCGUCAAAUAAAGAGUACAGUAUAUUGAACCAGAUCAACUUACCAUGAGACAAAUGUCAAUUUUUUGGUUUUUUUUCUACAAUAAGCUUUCUGAAACUAAAUUUUUCAAUGUUAACUUGCACAACUGAUGGGACUUGUAUUUAUUCAAGACUUUUGGAUCAACAUCAUCUUCAUCUUUUUUGAUAUCUUUUUUCCUGAUAUUCACUGUACCUUUUUGAUGGAUUAAUCUACCUUGAGACGUUCCGUGCAAGGGCAAUGGAAAUUGCUGAUAGAAAUAAUUAAGCAAAAUCUAUCACAAUAAUGUGUAUUAUUUUUUCUGUUAAUGUGAAGAAAAAAAAUGCUGAUAAUGCUUCUCAUUUGUUCAUUAUUUUGAAAAUCAACCGUGAUCUUGUUGUGGUUUCAGAUUGUUCUGUAAAGUUAUUCUCACUCAAAUAAGUACAUUGGUGUUUUCGUUAAGCCUUGGAAAUCAGAGAAUGAAAAAAGUCCUAGUCAGCUCAUGACGUUCAAAUCAUGGUUAACAUUACAAUUAGGAUUCACCCAUGGAAAAGUUAUUGUAAUUGAGAAUAGGAACAAAUUAUAAACAAAAAGCUUUACGAGAUGAAAAAGCAUGAACGCAGACAUGAGCAUGAGACUCAAAAAGGCCAAAAAAGGAUUUACUAAUGAAGUAGUUAAAGGCUAAAUGUUAAUCAGAUGCUGAUUGUCACAGUUUAAAAAUGAUAUAAGUUUUUGUACAUCUGUUGUUACACAUGAUGCUCAACAUGUUUACAAACAAUCAUUGCUAUAAGCAACAUUGACUAUCAUGUAAAUCAAACAGCUCAAUGUUGUCAAUGAUUAUCCAACUCUGCAUCUAGGUUAAAUAGUUGGUCACUGGAUUAAUCAGCAGUUGUUGCUUUUCCAAUAUCUGUAUGGCAUUGAAUUUUGUAAGUUUAUUGUAUCAAAAAAUGAGAUGAAAAAA